GUGUGAGGAUCGCCGGGGGUCAGCCUUGACUUGGAAUAUGCUCUCCUUUUGCUGGGAGAAUUUGGAAUGAGACUCUACAUUUUGGAUCAAGAUAACGCACAGGCAGUAAAAGUGGUUGCGAUUUCUCUGUGGUGUUUAUCGGAAAUGAGUCUGAAGACAUAGUCACAAUGAGUCAGAGAGGGAGCCCACGCCUGGAGCUGCUAAUGACUUCCCACAACUUUCCAGCGUGAGCAGAGGGGCUGAGGAAAAGACUGACGUGGGGAGGGCAAAGCUGCGGGACAGGACCUCAGGCCAGUUCGCACGAGCUCCUGGAUGCAGCUGUGCCUGCAGCCAGCAAUCACCACUGGCGUUUUCCUCUGCUGGACCAGUCAUACGUUUUCCUUUCGGGGCCAGCAAACGGGUCGGCAGCAGACACGGCCCUCCCUGACAGAGCUCCGAUGUCAGAUUUUGUCACUAUCUUGAAUUUGAAAACUCCAUUGCUCUGCUGCCUCUUCCAUGGUGCUCAGAGGUCUUGGAUUCUGCAU